UACAGAGGGGGCAAGCGUUGUUCGGAAUUACUGGGCGUAAAGGGCGCGUAGGCGGCCAACUAAGUCGAACGUGAAAUCCCCGGGCUCAACCCGGGAACUGCGUCCGAUACUGGAUGGCUUGAAUCCGGGAGAGGGAUGUGGAAUUCCAGGUGUAGCGGUGAAAUGCGUAGAUAUCCGGAGGAACACCGGUGGCGAAGGCGGCAUCCUGGACCGGUAUUGACGCUGAGGCGCGAAAGCCAGGGUAGCAAACGGG
rnacentral:rRNA from 1 species